UACGUAGGUGGCAAGCGUUGUCCGGAAUUAUUGGGCGUAAAGCGCGCGCAGGCGGCCUCUUAAGUCUGAUGUGAAAGCCCCCGGCUCAACCGGGGAGGGCCAUUGGAAACUGGGAGGCUUGAGUAUAGGAGGAGAAGAGUGGAAUUCCGACGUGUAGCGGUGAAAUGACGUAGAGAUGUGGAGGAACACCAGUGGCGAAGGCGACUCUUUGGCCUAUAACUGACGCUGAGGCGCGAAAGCGUGGGGAGCAAACAGG
rnacentral:rRNA from 1 species